GAGGAUAUAGCUCAGUGGUAGAGCAUUCGGCUGCAGAUCGAGCGGUCAUCGGUUCCAACCCGGCUGUCCUCU